rnacentral:rRNA from 1 species
AUGGCGCAAUUUUGGUGGGGUGACAAGAACAAUCAGAAAAGGAUGCAUUGGAUGGCAUGGUGAAAAUUGUGUGUUCCAAAAGACCAAGGAUGAAUGGGUUUUCGUGAUAUACACUGUUUUAACCUGGCUUUAUUAGCGAAGCAAGCGUGGCGUCUCGUGGAUAAUCCUGAAUCGUUAUGUGCAACAAUCCUAAGAGCAAAGUAUUUCCCCGAAGGUGAUUUAAUGAGCGCAGUAUUAAAAAAGGGCGCCUCCUUUACUUGGCAAAGCAUUAUGGCGGGAGUGGACUCUCUCAAGAAUGGCUAUAUAUAA